UUGACUUAUGAAUGAAGCAGGACUGACAAGAAAAGGAGGUCGCAGAGAUGGCUACUGAGAUAAGGGACAGGAGAGUGGAGAGCAAGGUGGCAACAACUAACCAACAACAAAAUUAAAGAUUUAUUACGUAUUAUUGAAUAAAGGUGAAACUCUGAGGCUUUCAGGGACGUGAGGUACGGUGCCAAGGCCACACCACUGGGGUCAGAUUUGUGGAUCUUGCU
rnacentral:lncRNA from 1 species